UUCGUUUCAAAUUGUAUGAUAGAUGGAAAUCCGGUGAUAAAUUCGGAUCCAAAACAUUUCUAUUCAUUUAUAGUUCAAAAAUGAUGCAACUGAAAUUGAACCCGUCGGCUUUGAAUUGAACACAACUUACCUUAAAGGACAUUACAAUAUUUCUCAGCUCAGAGUGACCAGAGUCAAUCGCACUACUUAUUCCGUUCAAUUUAAUGUUGACAUAUUUUGCGAUAUGGACGAGGAUCAUGAAAUUGAAGUAACAUUUCACUAUAAUCGCUUGAAUAAUAAUCAGUACACUCGAAUGCCAUUCGUCAUACCAAGAGCAUCUGCGUAUUACUAUCUCGACGUCUACUAUAAGAAAUAUAUGAUGAACCGUGUUGAAGGUAUCUCCAAUCUUCCUCAAUAUAUGGAAGACGAACGAGUAUGCCCAUUAAAAAAGGGAUUGUACUGGUUAAAGAAUUUCACAAUUAAUGGGAAACUCCCAGACGGACACUGGAUGGCGGUGAUAUAUAUUUAUUACAAAAAAGAGGUCGUUUGUUUCGUCAGAAUUUGGUCUGCAAUAUUAAGAGCAAGUAAUUUUUUGAGGUCCAAACAUCAUUAUUUCAUUCACUGUUAGAUUGG